UCACAGUCUAGUCGCAGUCUAGUCGCAGUCUAGUCACAGUCUAGUCUAGCGACUAGACUGUGACUAGACUGUGACUAGACUGCGACUAGACUGCGACUAGACUGU
rnacentral:pre_miRNA from 1 species